rnacentral:rRNA from 1 species
UAGUGACAAGAAAUAACAAUACAGGGCUUUCGUCUUGUAAUUGGAAUGAUGGUGAUGUACAACCUCACCAGAGUACCAAUUGGAGGGCAAGUCUGGUGCCAGCAGCCGCGGUAAUUCCAGCUCCAAUAGCGUAUAUUAAACUUGUUGCAGUUAAAAAGCUCGUAGUUGUAUUUCAGCCUCGCGUUUUUUCCCUUUUGUUGGGUCUUUUCGCUGGCUUUGUUUUUACUUUGAGAAAAUUAGAGUGUUUCAAGCAGACUUUUGUCUUGAAUACUUCAGCAUGGAAUAAUAGAGUAGGACCUUGGUUCUAUUUUGUUGGUUUUGAGCCUUGGUAAUGGUUAAUAGGAACGGUUGGGGGCAUUCGUAUUUAAA